CCUACGGGUGGCAGCAGUAGGGAAUAUUGCUCAAUGGGGGAAACCCUGAAGCAGCAACGCCGCGUGGAGGAUGAAGGUUUUCGGAUUGUAAACUCCUUUUGUUAGAGAAGAUAAUGACGGUAUCUAACGAAUAAGCACCGGCUAACUCCGUGCCAGCAGCCGCGGUAAUACGGAGGGUGCAAGCGUUACUCGGAAUCACUGGGCGUAAAGAGCGCGUAGGCGGGAUAGCAAGGCAGAUGUGAAAUCCUAUGGCUUAACCAUAGAACUGCAUUUGAAACUGUUAUUCUAGGGUAUGGGAGGGUAGGUUGGAAUUCUGGGGGUGGGGGUAAAUUCCGAGGGAAUAAGAGGAAUAA
rnacentral:rRNA from 1 species